GUUUUCGUGGUGCAACGGUAGCACACUCGGAGGGUAUUCAGGAGGUUCAGGUUCGAGUCCCGGCGAGGACA
rnacentral:tRNA from 1 species